rnacentral:rRNA from 1 species
UACGUAGGGGGCUAGCGUUGUCCGGAAUCAUUGGGCGUAAAGAGCGUGUAGGCGGCCCGGUAAGUCCGCUGUAAAAGUCAAAGGCUCAACCUUUGAAUGUCAGUGGAUACUGCCGGGCUAGAGUCCGGAAGAGGCGAGUGGAACUCCUGGUGUAGCGGUGGAAUGCGCAGAUAUCAGGAAGAACACCAACGGCGAAGGCAGCUCGCUAGGACGGUACUGACGCUGAGACGCGAAAGCGUGGGGAGCGAGCAGG